ACUCAACGCGAAUUCUUUAAAAAGGGUGAGUUUAAGUUGUAAAAGCGCGCUGUUAGUGCUGAAUUUAUUCAGUAUCUCGGACAGAUUCUUGAUCAGCUUGGUAUCCCUAAACUUGUUUUAAGGAGUUU
rfam:Bizionia argentinensis JTB59 contig00017, whole genome shotgun sequence.